rnacentral:lncRNA from 1 species
GGCGUUCAUGUGCGUUCAACUCGUAAAUACGAUCUAUCUGACAUGACUUAAAAGCACCAUAAGCCCCGAGUUUCCGGGGUGGGGGCGUGUCAACGAGUAACAUAAACUUCCGUAGGACUUUUAUAGGAACAUUCUGGGCUUUUUCGUGUUAUGUUGUGUCUGCCUUCGCAUCGCCACAUGCCUUGUAAUGACCUUCUGCUGACAAAUAAAAACUCCUCGUUUUAUUUUACGACAAUAUGAUAUUAAAUCAAGGCAUGUUUUCAUUAUUUCUUAGACCGUUUACUGUCGAAUAUGUUUCUGACAGAUAAGCACAGCUUAUUCUAGGUGCACAGUUAGCAUGCUAGCUUUUGUAAUAUAUAAUUCAGUUCUGCGGCUUAACUUUAAACGGGUCUGAUUCAGACAGCACUGCAAUGACUGUCCUCAAACAGAUGUUUAAUAAUGUUUUAUUAUUAUUUGAAUUGCAGGUAAAAUGUUGGCAAGUAUAAUCGGACGUCACAUCCUUCGUAACUUUGGGGGAAUGCAGUGGAGUGGCCUCAUGCAGGUGUCCAGGAAGUUUGCCUGUUUAGGGCAGCGGACCACUCACUGUUCAACACUGUUUACUAGAGGUUUAUAUGGACAGCUGCCCCCAAGACAUGUUGCUGGUUCUGUUUUGGGAGCAUUUCACUGGUCUGCACAUAGACUGAAGAAACGUCCUCAGGAAGAGAG